AGAGUUUGAUCCUGGCUCAGGACGAACGCUGGCGGCGUGCUUAACACAUGCAAGUCGAACGGUGAAAGCGGAGCUUGCUCCGCUGGAUCAGUGGCGAACGGGUGAGUAACACGUGGGCAACCUGCCCCAGACUUCGGGAUAACUCUUCGAAAGAGGCGCUAAUACCGGAUAUGAAUUCUGCAGGCAUCUGCGGAGUUGGAAAGUUUUUCGGUCUGGGAUGGGCCCGCGGCCUAUCAGCUAGUUGGUGAGGUAGUGGCUCACCAAGGCGACGACGGGUAGCCGGCCUGAGAGGGCGACCGGCCACACUGGGACUGAGACACGGCCCAGACUCCUACGGGAGGCAGCAGUGGGGAAUAUUGCGCAAUGGGCGAAAGCCUGACGCAGCAACGCCGCGUGCGGGAUGAAGGCCUUCGGGUUGUAAACCGCUUUCAGCAGGGAAGAAGCGAAAGUGACGGUACCUGCAGAAGAAGCACCGGCUAACUACGUGCCAGCAGCCGCGGUAAUACGUAGGGUGCAAGCGUUGUCCGGAUUUAUUGGGCGUAAAGAGCUCGUAGGCGGUUAGUCGCGUCGGAUGUGAAAACCCAGUGCUUAACACUGGGCCUGCAUUCGAUACGGGCUGACUAGAGUGUUGUAGGGGAGACUG
rnacentral:rRNA from 1 species